UGGAUUUUAAUGUCUAAAUUUAUGUAUCUUUGCUUUGUGAGUAUGAGGAACUAAACCCCCCUUGGCUAGGGGGAAUUCGAAACCAUGUUUAUGCUUGCUAUAUGAUUUGAUUACUUUCAAUUGCGUUUCAUAAGUUGUGAAUUCAAUUUACUUAUCUACAUGAAUUAAAACUGAUUUGUGUGUGUUGGUUGAGAGUGCACGCUUAAUUUUCAUGCAUAAGUUUGAUGCUAGGAUAUAAGGGAAUUUCACCUAAUCGUUAUGAACUUAUAUUCAAAAGUAGUAAAGGUUGUUGAUCACAAUCGUGUUUAGUAAAUUCUUGGUAGAAGUUUCAUGCAAUUCAUAGUAACGAGUGCCUCGCCAAUGCUUAUGAUUUUCAUAGAACUUAAUGAUCUUUGCUUGU
rnacentral:lncRNA from 1 species